rnacentral:lncRNA from 10 species
AUUUUUACUGAGUACUGACUAAGCGCCUGGGAACAAUUGAUGAUGAUACCUAGAAACAGAAAUUGAAAUGUUGGAAGCAACAAGGACCUGAGGAUUCAUCAAUCAUCUGACUGCAUGGAUGAGGGUCCAGAAAUCUAAAUGCCUGCUGUCACUGGGCCGGUCAGCAGAGAAGAAGACUCGAGUUCAGGGUUCUUAAAUCCUGAUCCAAUCUUCCUUCCACAGGGAAAUUCUAAUGGCAUUUUCUCUCAGCCUCCUUCAACUCUCCAACCAAGCUCUCAUUUCUAAGACUAUGGAGGAUUCGCCACCAGACUGGGAAGCAACAGCCUGGGCUCCAGAGUCAGACACUACACUCACUAGACUAUGGACGAUUCACCACCAGACUGGGAAGCAACAGCCUGGGCUCCAGAAUGCACAGAUGAGGAGAGGUCUCAUGAAGCUUCGGUGGAGUCUGGGACCCUAGCUCUUUUUGUAACAAGUUGUUUGACAUGAGGCCCAGUCACGAGGGCCCUUUGUGACUGGGCUCCAGGAACACAAAAAGGUCAACUUGUUUUUGCAACUGUCUAUUGUUUUUCAUUAACUAAUGUAUAGGAAUAGAUUGAAAUACAGAUUUCUCCGAAACAGUGCAGGAUGAAUGCCUCAAGGGGCUCACACAACCUGUUCUGGGACUUGGUGACCAUUGUUUGUGUCCAUGUUCAAUUGAGUUCAAAUUGAAUAUUUAAUUUUUCCUCCACAGUGAUCUCUGGUAAAAAGAUCUGAUGCUUUAGAAUGUUAGGGCUCCAUGGAGCCUUGCAGAUCAUCCAGUUCCUAGACUAGACUCUAGUCCAAACACCUCACUUUACAGAGAGGAAAAUGGAUCCAGGGAGAAAAGCUGACUGCAUUCUUACCAUUAGCCAGAGACAGAAUAGGACUGGAACUCAGGUCUCCUGAUAGAGCUCAAUGCUCUCUUUGCUGCCUUCUUUUAGAUUAAUUUUUAUGAUUCAAUUUUUAUCUCCUUUGUUGGCUUGGUAGCUACAACUGUUUGUUUUGUUAUUUUGCAGGUUCUUUAAGGUUUAUAGUAUACAUCUUUAUCUUAUUACAGUCUUUGUUCAACUGAUAGUAUAUUGCCACUUCACACAUAGUAUAACAACAUUAUGUUUCUUCCUUUCCAGCUUUCAUGUUGUUAUCAUACAUUUUACUUGUGCGUAUGCAAUAAAUCCCAAAAUACAUGGUUACUAUUUGUUUUUAAAUAGUUAAUUAUAUUUAAAAGAGAUUAAAUAAUAAGAGGAGGAAUACCUUACAUAUAUACCCAUGUAAUUACCAUUUCCUUUGAUCUUCAUUCCUUUGUGUGAAUCUAUGUUUUCAUCAGGUAUCCUUUUCCUUUGGUGGUAAAUUUUUUCAGCUUUCGCAGGUCUGAAAAAGUCUUUAUUUCACUUUCUUUUUUUAUAUGUAAAAAU